AGCUUUUUGAAUCCAUGCAGAGAUUUCGUCUGACACCAACCCAUUAAGACUGAUCAAACUUCCAGGAUAAGUGAAGUU
rnacentral:pre_miRNA from 1 species